ensembl:lncRNA
ACCUGUCGGUAUCCAGCACCCAGGUCUCCUCCCCUCCCAGUUCUCAUCUCUCUCUCCCUCUCUCUCUCUCUUUUUUUUUUCCCCCAAACAUUGACUGCUUCCUAGCUUUGAAAGAGUUUUCCCCUCUGUGGUCAGGCCUGUGCCAGAGUUAAUAAAAGUUUCGCCACCACUGUGCCCCUCUGCUGACACCAUCUCAAGAGAAAUAACUCAGACAAGAACUCUUCUGAAGAGGACAAAGAAGAAAAGCCAAGGAGAAUUAAACUAAAUGGAAGCCUCUUGUCUUUUGAAGAACUUCUCUCCUCUGCCAGGAUCAAGACGAACGAUUCCUUCCUCAGUGCUCCUCCUGUUCUAAUCAUUGUUAUCAUCUCUUGUGAACAGACUCGCUUCCUUUUUUUAUCCAUGUCUAUCUUUCAGAAAUUAUGUGGACUAAAAAGAAACAGUAUAAGAACACGGUAACAAAGUCUAAGGUUGUCCUGAGGGAUGUCUUUGAAAGAUUGAGGAGAAGAUGUAAGAAAGUAUCAGUAGUUUUUUUUUUUUUUCUUUUUCUUGAAGUGAGUGUUUUGAAAACAUUGUCCCACCUGGAGAAAUCUGGAAACUGGUAAAAUGAAGGCCUGUCUGAGAAACAAAACACUGCUGCAAAGAAUCUGAUUUAGUAUCAUGACUUUGGUUCAUUUUUAAUAUAGAAUUUCAUGGCUCAUCAAGGGGUAAGCCAGUCUAUCAAAAGAAGUUGUCUUUUUUGUUCAUUUUAGAAAUGUCCCUGCUGUUACUGUGUGGCGUGUGCUUUUGAAAACUCAACACAGUUUAAACAGAAGAGGGCUGAGGCUUUGUUCUCUCUCCCCUCUUCCCGUCUAAGUUCAUUGUCUUUGCCCUACAAGUUCUUCUCACAGUUUUACCAAUUCCUUCCUGCCCAUAUGAACAAAUGUCAUAGCUUAGCAACAAUCAUCAUUUCAUAUUACAUUUAUAGUUCAGCUAAUAUGAUGGAAUGAUCUACAUGCCAGAAUCUCUUAAUUUCUUUUCCUUUCCUUUACACAGCUGCAGACUGGAACCAAAUGCUCAGUCAGAUAUCUUUCUUAUAUAACUAAUGGGAGGUGAGUGUUUUCCUGUUUCUGUUUUCUCUCUCACCCAUAUUUUCUGUCUCCCUCUGUAUUUAUAGAACCAGCUUUAAUUAUAAUUUAGCAGUGUGCUGAGGGCACAUCAGUGAGUCUCCAGAUGGUGCAAAGCAACCUGUGAGAGUACAUUGCUUUUCACAUUUGAUCUUGGAAUAGCCAAUAUGUUCCUGGCAAGCACUGACUAAGCAGUUGACCUGUCUAUUUGCCGUUAGUUUCCAUUUACUUGCUUUCUGGUAAUGAAUACUAAUAUUCCAUGAUAUGAUGGGUCCCCUAAUGUAUCUCCCUAUUUUUCCCUUUUAGAUUUUCCUUUAUGCUUCAUCCGUGGAUCAGUAGGAGGGAAUCCUUUAAUUUAAUACAUAUAUAUUAAAUUAUACAUUUAUUUCAUUAUUUUAAACGAGCUUUUCCUUCCAGCGUAUCACAGCUUCUGAAAUGAAGGUCUUAAACUUAAUGUCAAAGAGUGCUGGAUAUUUUUUUCUAAAAGCAUUUUUGAGAAUGUGAAAAGUAUAUCUAUAAAUAAAUGAAGAGAAAAGAAAGACGAGGAAGAGAAA